rfam:Angiostrongylus cantonensis strain Taiwan genome assembly, scaffold: ACAC_scaffold0001197
CUGCUAAUGAUGAGAUAAUCAUCCUUGCUCUGCGAGUUGUGGAGUGAAUUCGAUGAGGAAUCAUAGUUAUCGAGACGUGUGAUCCUAAUCGAAGAAAACUUCGCAACGAUGAACAGUGUUGGCCUCUGAAGCAG